rnacentral:rRNA from 1 species
UACGUAGGGAGCAAGCGUUGUCCGGAAUCAUUGGGCGUAAAGCGCGCGUAGGUGGCCCCGUAAGUCCGCUGUGAAAGUCAAAGGCUCAACCUUUGAAAAGCCGGUGGAUACUGCAGGGCUUGAGUACAGAUGAGGUAGGCGGAAUUGACGGUGUAGCGGUGAAAUGCAUAGAUAUCGUCAAGAACACCUAUAGCGAAGGCAGCUUACUGGGCUGUAACUGACGCUGAGGCACGAAAGUGUGGGGAGCAAACAGG